GUAGUUAAUAUGGCGUCUACAUUUUGGCAGUGUGCAUAAAUUUUUUUGCUAUUUCUUUUUAAUGAUUUUCACUUAUUAACGAGAGAAAGAAUAUAUAUAUACCUAGAAGAAGAAAACAAACAAAUUGUAAAAUGCGGCGUUUAAAAUUUGGACACAUGUUAGAUCUCUAGCAUAAGUUCCUAAUAGAGAUACCAGAUGACGCCAUCGUUUCAUAAUUGGCGCGAUUUUUUCGCGGUAGUUUUCUUGAACUCCUGCCAUAUGUGAAAGUUCCCUUUAUUUUCUCGAUAAAGUAUGCGUUUUGUUGCAAUAAUUGAUGAGUUUUAGACGAUCGAUUUGUGCCCGCGUAUUUUCUGUGUAAAAACUUUUACCAGAACGCGCGAGGGGAGUCUUCAUUAAUUAUUUAUUCAAUAAGAAUAUGUUCACUUCUACUUGUGAUUAUUCUCGUAUUUUUAUACAUAGAAAUAAUUUGUUAUAUCGUUUAAAAUGAUUCCUGAAAAAAGUAGAUCUAAUUUUAUGAUAACAAUUUAGAUAUUAUUUUAUACAAUGAAAUUAAGGUCAGAAUUUUGUUAAAUUUUUAUUCUAAUAUAUAACAAUAUACGUAUAUCAAACUAUUUCUUUAUAUAAAUUA